rnacentral:rRNA from 1 species
UACGUAGGGUGCGAGCGUUAAUCGGAAUUACUGGGCGUAAAGCGUGCGCAGGCGGUUCGUUGUGUCGGUGGUGAAAUCCCCGGGCUUAACCUGGGAAUGGCCAUGGAAACUGGCGAACUGGAGUGCGGCAGAGGGGGGUGGAAUUCCUGGUGUAGCAGUGAAAUGCGUAGAUAUCAGGAGGAAUACCGAUGGCGAAGGCAGGUCCCUGGGCUGACACUGACGCUCAUGCACGAAAGCGUGGGGAGCAAACAGG